CAGCAGCAGGUGUUGAAGAUGCUGAAGAUAAAUCAAAGCAUCCACUUGUUCAACGUAAAGGCCGUUUUAAGGUGAUGUCUGAGAAUGUUGAUUCAGAUAAGGCUUUUGCACCUAUUUGCCCUCAAAAGGGUCAAAGCACACAGAUGGAAGCAGCUACCGAAAGGGAGAAGCAGCUGAUACAGGAGAUUUGUGAUCUGCACUGGAGGCUAUCAUGCACGCAGGACGAACUAAAAAGGCUAAGAGCAAGAAAUGCUCAGGCCAAUCCCUUGUGUCCUCAACACGACUGACCACCAUUUCAGUUUGCUUCAGCAGCAGGAAACGAUGGAUGAGCAGAACUCCUC